UGGGGUGUGGUCUGUUUCUGUACUUUAGGUGCAGCCAAACUGUUUUUGACAAGUAGAGAAGCAAACAAUCGGAUCCAGCAGGGUUGGAAAAGCACAAGUACAGGAUCAUAAUGGAUUCAGAUAAGCCAUCAGCUUUGAGUAAAAAUGAGACGGAGGAUGCACAGAAGAAGAAAGAUAAUGAGAAGGGGCACGGCAAGCACAAGCCAGAAGGCAAAGAAAAGUCCAAGGAUGGACAUGGACAUGGACAUGGACCUGGACAUGCACAUGGCCACGGCUGCGGUCAGGGCCACGGCCAUAAUAAGUGAAGAAGAUAAGAAGACUUUGAAUGAAUAAGAAGGGGAAAUAAGAGGAUCCUCUUCCUCCUCUGAUGAGGAAGACUCCACAACAGGCGUUACCAGCAAUACCUGUGUCAUUCACACACCACACCCAGCUGUAACUGAUGCUUCCUGCUGGAUCCAGUUGCCCUGUUUGUCACUCUAAUCUUGUCUAUUGAUUUAAGAGAAUAUCUGAUCAGGAAAUUUUCUUCCUGUCUACUAACAGGUGCCAUGAAAAACAGGCUGAGACUUUAGAACUAAAUGUGACAAUAAAAAUAUCUAAAUGGGUUUUCUCUGUCAGAGUGUUCCUGUCUGAUCUCACCACUAGAUGGCAGUGUCUCACAUUUUUAAGCUCAAUUCUGUCAAGAUACUGAUACUGUUUAGAACUGAAAUACUGUACAUGCUAUAUAGAUGUAAAAAAUCAGAACAUAAAGAACAAGCAUUUUGUUGAAAAAAGUAAAAUAAAAGUCCAAUAUCUAUGGUAAAAAAAAACUGAUCAAAAUUUUUGGUUUAAAAUUGUAUCUGUUUUAUGGGAUAAAUUGAGAAAACUGAAAAGAGAAAUGGAAAAUCUUGGUUGCAAAAGGUACAAUUAUUCAGAACUACUAGGUUGAAAGUGACAAAAAUGCAGAUGAAAACAAAACAUUUGUUUUUUUUGUGUUUUUUUUUAAAGGCAUGGCAAAAUCUUCUUAAUGUGGUGUAUCACUGCUUUAUACUUUUUCCAUGAUUCAGGCUAGUGGAGGGUAAGUAGGAUGUUGUCAUGGCUACAGUCAUGUGCAAUAACAUGCAAAGAGUUGGACAGCCAUGAUAAUUCCUCUGGCUGUGAAUAACCAUGCAAUCAAAGGAUGACUUAAUUCUUAAAUAUUACAGGAGGUUUUUCUCUAAUAUUUCAAGCAAGAUCAGUUUUUAUUUUCUCUAAAACUUUUAAAUUAAGAAAGAGGGACGAGUCCCUGAAGGUUUGUUUGCUAAUUCCUUUAAUUGCCCCCUUUUUAAAAAGUAAUUUCUUUUUGUGCAUUGUCCUGCUACACAAACCUGAGCAUGAUCGCUUCACAUGUACCUUUGAGAUGUUCUUUUAAUGAAUUUCUGAAGCCUUUUUUCUUUCAAACAUACCCUUUGCCUUUAAAGUUUCCUUCGAACUUUCCUAAACUUCUUCAGACUUGUUCAUCUGCAUAUUUCUGGAGCCUGAUUUUGUGGUGGUGAUGAAAGAAAAAAUAAAACAAAACAAAAAAACAAACAAAAUGCCAAAAAAGUUUUUAUUAAUGAUAAUAAUAA